GGGGGUACAGCUCAGUGGUAGAGCAUUCGAUUGCAGAUCGAGAGCUUUCUGUUUCACUCCUGAGUGCCAUCU